rnacentral:rRNA from 1 species
UACGUAGGGUGCAAGCGUUGUCCGGAAUUAUUGGGCGUAAAGAGCUCGUAGGCGGUCUGUCGCGUCUGCUGUGAAAACUCGGGGCUUAACCCCGGGCCUGCAGUGGGUACGGGCAGACUAGAGUGCGGUAGGGGAGACUGGAAUUCCUGGUGUAGCGGUGAAAUGCGCAGAUAUCAGGAGGAACACCGGUGGCGAAGGCGGGUCUCUGGGCCGUAACUGACGCUGAUGCACGAAAGCUAGGGGAGCAAACAGG